rnacentral:lncRNA from 1 species
CGCGGAAGGGGAGGGGCAAGCCGGAGUCGUUGAAGCAGCAGCUGCUUUAGUUUAAGAAACUUCAGCCGGGAGAAAGGAGGCGGGAGGGAGGGGGAGACCACGGCGACGUCGACUAGACCCAGCGAGGAAGUGACUCACCCAGAAAACGCAGCAUCUGCAGCUGCCCGUUAACCAGCUGCGGGCUGGGGAAUGAGCGGUUCCGGCCGGCCACGCCCAUCGCAACCUAAAUCUGCGAACCUGGCCCCCUGCCCGCUCCAUUCUUUUCUCCAGUCUCACCUCUUGGCGUCCGAGGCCACCUCUCCCCGAACUUUGAGACAUUCCCCAGGUUUGAGAUUCAGGUUGCUGGCGACCAGACCCUGUGUAGACAAGAGCACCGAGCUGUGUUUAGGUUGGAGUUAGACCUACCUGCAUUGGGCUGGGGUGUAGGGAUGGGGUCAUUCCCACCCUGGAGUACCCUGACCAGCCCUAGGGGAAGCCCGAGGUGGGAUGGGCUGGUCAGGAUAGGGUGUAAGUUGAUGGGGAACGACUUCAUUCCCAGCAGGGUGUCAAACUUGUGACUGUCCUACAGAACAAGCCCUAAAAGACAUCAGCUUGGAGACCUGGACUUAGAGUGGAGGGGAGAUGGAGUGUGACUUCCUAAAUCCUCAUUUUGCUGAUGGAAGGAUUAGGCGACCACUAGCCUAAGGCCUUGCUUCUCUGAGAUAGAGAAAACAGCCUUUGCCUCCCCAAUCGGCUUCAAGGCUCUCUGCUUAGAUGCACACCAUCGGGAGGGAGCGGAGAGGCUGAGGGGCGGUGGGACUGGGCAGCCCGAGAGUGGCAAUGUGGACUUAGCACGCUAGAGAGCCCAGUACAUAUCAGGGCACUGCUGUGCACCUACCUGGGUGAGUUGACAGGAGUUCAUUUGGGCAAGGGGUUUCUUUGACAUUUGAACCCUAUACCUGAGGGCUUGCCUGUCUGUGCAAAUGCAUGCAGUUUCCUCCGCCCAGCCCUGACCCGCCUCCACUGACCAGCCUGGAGCCUAUCUUAGGCCCGGGAGGGUUUUUUUUUUUUUUUUUUUAGUUUUCUGGAGCAGAGGGUGACCAACUGAGCCCUGGCCCUGUGACUGGGGACAGCUGCAGCGGGGGAGGGGUCAGGAGACUCUAGAGUGGAGAGGAAGAGUGAACAGGGAAUGGCCUUGGCCAAAAUGUCCCCCUGCCUCCCUUUUCCCCGGGUGGCCACACCCUUCCCACUCCCACUUCUCAGAAAACGGCAAAGCAGCAGAAUACUGGACUUUGCAAGGCAGAUGUAGCCACUGAGGACCAGAGAAAACACCUGUCCAAGGCAGCACAGCUGGGACCAGAAGCAAGUCCCCAAUUGUCUACUCUCCUGUGCCCAUCUGCUUCUGCUCAGUCCCCUAGACCUUGGAACAGAGGGUCCCGCACUCACACAGGCCAUGAUUGAAGCUGAAGCGAAGAGAUUCCUGAGACCUGCUCCACCAGCAGUCAGAAGACUCCACCCGAGAGACGGGCCCCAGGCCCGCUCCGACCUUUUUAACUGGAUCAGACCCGGUGAGUCCCGCCCCUCCCCGGGAGUUCAGCCAAUUGCAUGUCAGGACAAGGAUGGGGGCCACCAGAAGUGGAGUCUAUGGAUUAUAAAGUCAAUUUUGGAGCAGAGGUGACCAGUCAGAGAGGAGACCCCCCCUCCUAGCCCCUCCCUCAGGGUCCUGGCGCCGCCUCUUAUUCUUCUCCAUCCCUCUUUCCACUAAAAAAAGAUUUGUGCUGUGGCAGAGAUUGGGGGAGCCAAUGGAAAAUAGUUUAAGGAUGAGUUAAACCUAAGAGUUGGCGGGAUAGGGCCUGGGGCCAGCAGGGAGAAAGCCCCUAGGUCCCAGCGCAGCUGGUGGGGGAGGGGGAUGUGUGUAUAGAUGCCUGCAGAGAAUUAGAGCAAGGCUCUCUGAAGAGGCUGCCGCCUGGCAGGCCAGGGUGUGGCUCUCGCUGUGACUCCCACUGUGGGCUUCUGCGGGAGGACUGAGGAGGACCACAAAGCACAGGCCCCACCAGGGCUUUCCCCGGAAGCAGAGGACUGUGGCUACGGCUCAGUGCAGCUCACUAGGGCUAAAGAAAGCCUGGGCUGGGCGCCAGGCCUGAGGCUGGUGUCCUUGGCUCAUACCUUGGACUUCACCCCACUGCAGGGCCUGCAGAGAGUUCUGAGUGCCUUGGCUGUGACAUCCCCGGGGCCUGAGAGGCAAGCCUCGGGGCAGUCCAGGGUGUGCCAGAUGUGCCCCCUUGGUCUCAUUCCCACUUUUAGAGAAGAGACUUGGCCAUCCCUUCCCAUUCAUUUAGCAGUUAUUUUCCUGAGCCCCUACUGUGUGUCUAGCUCCGUGCUGGCCUCAGAGGGCAUGAAGAUGAGCCCCUCCCAGGCCCUGCUCUCAGAAUUCACGGUUUGGAUAGAAUGUGACUAUGCGUUGAAUUAAGAAAUAACACCGCACUGGCACUGAGCAGGGCAAACACUCACCAUGGUGGGGUAGAGACUGACAUAUGAAGCAGGGAUUUGAAAGGACCCAGCAUUCCAACUGGGCAAAGGCUUGGAGAUGAGAAGCCCGUGCCUGGGGAACGAGCUGCUUACCAUGUAGGAGAAAGCUGGGCGUUAAAGAUCAUGAAGGGUCUUGUGGGCCAGGUAAAGGGUUUCAGUGUCUUUUACCUGAGGGUCUUGGGGAGCUACAGAGGGUCAUGGGGUGACAUGAGAGACUUAGGGAGGUUCACUGAGCAGAGCGGAGGGUGUGUGAUAAUACAGGCACUUCAAAGCUGCUCUUGCCAAAAAGCCUGGAUUCCUCCCGUGCCCUGGAAGGUUACUGAAAGGGUGAGUCUGCCCUCUCUGCCUUUGUCUUUGUAUCUCUGUCUCCUUCCUUUGGCUCAGGCUCUCGCUUCCCUCCGCCUUCCUGACCUGACCAUCACCCUUCUAAGCCAAAGGCACGAAGACUAGUCACUGUCUCAAAAAUGCCGAGCCAAGCCUUGCAGGACAACCCCUCCCCCACCGGAGUGUUCCUGAGGUAACUGCACACCCGGGAGAAGGAGUGACCCUCUCCCUAGAACUUACACAUCCCCUUAAGCAAUAUGACUUCUUUAAGCCAUCGUACAGAGCCAGUCAGUCAGCCCAGGUAUGCAUACCUCUUGUUAUCUGUGCUGAUUCUUUCAAUAUUUAAACUUAAACUACAUGGUGGCUCAUGCCUGUAACACCAGCACUUGGGAAAAUGAGGCAGGAGGAUUAGGAAUUCUCAUCUGCUACAUGAGACCCUGGCUAAAAAACAAAAAACAAAAAAAAAACAAAAACAAAAAACAAAACAAAAAACAAAACAACAACAAAAAACAAAAAACGGGCAGUGGCGGUGCAUGCCUUUAAUCCCAGCACUUGGGAGGCAGAGGCAGGUGGAUUUCUGAGUUCGAGGCCAGCCUGGUCUACAGAGUGAGUUCCGGGACAGCCAGGGCUACACAGAGAAACCCUGUCUCGGAAAACAAAAACAAAAACACAAAAACAAAAAAACAAAUUAGCAGCUAUCCAGGCAGUGGUGGUACACACCUCUGACCCCAGCAUUCAGGAUGUAGACAGAGGCAGCUCUCUGUGAGUUCAAAGACAGUCUGGCUUACAGAUUGAAGUUCCUGGAUAGUCAGGAGUACAGAGAGAAACCCUGUCUUAAAAACCAAACCAAACCAAACCAAACCAAACCAAACCAAACCAAACCAACCAAAUAACCAAACAAAAAUUAGCAGCUAAAACAGCAACAACGGCCUCUCCAAAAGCCAACUCACAUUAGUACCCCAAAACAAACUUGGGGUUACUGAGACUCUUGAUCUGUUCCCUUUCCCAGUGUGGCCACAUUGAAUAAAUCCUUUUGUGUUUGUUAACCUGAUGUCCCCUUAGCCUCUUUUUAGGCAGGAGUCUUACGCAGUACAGCCCGGCCUCAAGCUUGCUGGGCUAAGGCUGACCUUAAACCUCUGACCCCCCUGCUCCUGCCUCUCAAGUUCUGGGAUUUCAGGCCUGUGACAACUGACUUGUUGGGGAUUAAACCAGACCUUCACUCGUGCUAAGUGAGCAUUCUACCAACUAGUUAUCUCUUUAAUUGGUGUAGAGGCCCAGCUCCAUUGGUUGGCUGCCAGAGCCCCCUCUCCUGCCCUAAAACCUCUGGUUAGUUAGAGGGGUAUUUGGCUCACGCUGGGAAUCAGGUGUCGGGGCAACAGGGGGUCCGUGUAGCCGUUCCCCUUCCGAAGCUACCAUCUUGGAAGAGUUGUGACGAUAAGGGGUCAUUGAGUCACAUCUGGAGGCCAGGCCAGCAAUCCUCUUGCCCUACCCAGCCUCUUCCUCCCAGGCUCAUCUCUAGCUCCUCCCUCCAGAUGUGGAAAGCCCACCCAGGAUGUGAGGAGAGGGAAACCCGCAGGGCACAGGGGAGAUGCUAUCACAUCUGGAGUGAGGUUGGCCUGCCCCAUCAUCUCCAGCCCCGCCCUCAAGUCACCACCAGAGAACCCAACCGCAGCAGCUUCAAUCUUUCCUCUGAGGCCUCCCCAGACUUCAGUUACAGGGCGGGACUGUUGGGGCCCUGGCCGGUUAGUUCCUCUACUAUUCCAACUGUGUGUGCCCCUCUCCCACAUCAGGAACAGGACAAAGACAUCAGGCAGAGUUCCAGGUAGAAGACCAGAGAUGAGGCAGUCAAUUGCCAGGCAAAUCCACGGGCUGGGAGCUCAGGGCUCUGGGAGCUGUUCCUGCCAGGUCAUGACUGGAAUAGAAGACCUACACCAGGAAGUGUGUGUGUGUGCACUUCUCUGUAGGUGCUGUCUGAGCAGGCCGGCCAUGGAAGAGCAUGGUAUAAGGACUAGUCUCCUGACCAUGGCCUGGAGAUUCUGGUUUAUGCUUCCAACCCUGUUUACCUGUUUAUUCAUUUUCUCCAUUUGCAACUGUACGUGUGAAGUCCCUCUUUCCUUCCUGAGGGUCACGUAAGGUGGGACUCAGGUCUGUGGCUCUUCAUAGGUGACCUUUGCCUUGAGACAGUCCUGCUCUGUAGCCCGGGCUGGUUUGGAGUUCGAAGCAGUCCUGCCUGGGAUAACAGGUAUGAGUUCACCAUACCUAGCUGAGCUCAAGAUUUACAGUCUCCUUGUCGCCUCUUCCAAGGUUACCUUCCCUGGUGUUUGGCAGACCCUCUUCUGGUCCUCUCCCACCCGAGCUGUGGUAUGGAUUUGCCAGAUGCCAAUAGCCCCUGUAACCGGCACUAUGGUUUUUAAGGCAGGGUUGUCAGAAAUAAGGUCCCUUCCUUGCCCCACACCCACAAAGUGCUCAGGGCCUCCUGGUGGUGGCACCCACUUAUCUGUCAGGCCCAGUGCCCGGCGCCUUGCUUUCAAAGCCUAUCUCAUUUGAGCAUAUCAGUCUCUGCCCACCUGGUGAAUAGCCGCUGUGGUCAGAUCCCAAACAGAGGCAGGAUGGGGAACAGAGACGAGCAUGGAUUUGGGGGGGGCAGGGUGUAGUCCUGGGCGUUGGUUAUUCUGAAUAAUGUCCACAUUCUAGAAGGUAGCAGUAUGCCGAUCAUUUCAGGGUGAGUUGAGGAUUGCAGGUAUUGAGGUAUGCCUUUUUCCUUCCUUGUUUCCUAAGGCCAAAGGUGGGGCCCCUGAUGAUUCUCCCUCAGGCUCCCACAGUAGCCAUUGGAGUCCUCUGGAAUUCUGUUCAGAAGCCCAGCCCUUGGAUCUGGCCUUAGCUUUUCCAUACAGGUCCCAGCCAGCAAGGUCCUUCCUGACCCUCCAACUCCUACCCCUCCCUGACAGUCUGUACUGCUUGCGGCCAGCCCUGGGAGGGAGCCACGGAGCUCAUGGGUACCAUGCACAGCACCCACCAAGCUGGCUCCAACACAGAGUUCUUGAAGUCAGAGCAGGGAGGGACCCCAGAGAUGCCAUGGCCUGCUCCCCCAUAUCUUCUGAUGCACUUUAAGGAUGUGGAAACCAGAGAGGGAGGGUACUUGGCUGUGCUCUCUCAGGGAGCUGGGGCUGAGGAGAGCCUUUUAUGAAGUGUAGAAGGGCAGCUUUGACCUCCCCGGCUUGGCUGUUGUGCUGUCUUGAAAAUUCUAAACAGCUCAGUCCAUUGCUUUUGAAUUCAGCCUCAAUCAGCUUUUCUGGAUAUCUGGCAGAAUGCAGCUAGGUCCUUGGCUAGAGUAUGACACAAGGUCCUGAUGGAGUCCACAGAGUCCUCUGAAAACCUCAUAAGCACGGUACUCACCGCUCACCCUUCUCUGCAUCUUGGCCUCCCAAACUCUCAGCGGAAUGGCCCAUGAUGCUCUGCUUAUAGUAUCCGAGCCUCUCUAGCCAGCAGCUCUGGGCUCUCCCAUUGUUACUCCUAGAAACCAGCUCAGGAGGCCUAUGAACUUCACGCACAGGCUCCUCACAACAGCGGCCCCUCUUCUGACAGCAAUUUUCUCUACUGAUUCCAAUUGCUUCCAAUUGCUGUGACUGCUUGGUAAGUAACCACAGGAAGGAAGGGAGUAUUUCGGCUCACGGUUCGAAGGGAAACAGUCCGUCGCGGUGAGGAAGACAUGGUGGCAGAAAUGUGGGAGAGGUGGUCACACUGUGCUUGGCACCAGCAAGCAAGCAGAGACGAAGAUGAAUGCCAGCCCCAGCCCAUAUUCUGUCUUCACUGUUCCAGCCUGGGUCCCCAGCCUGUGGGAUGCCACCCCCCACUCUCAGGGCUGGCUUUCCUUCUUUAGUUAAAACAUCAGCACAGACAUGCUAAAGGAAGGCCUGUCUCCUCCCCAGCACCCACUCGGGGUGGCUCACAACCUCCUGUAACUCCAGUUCCAGGGAGGUCCAGUACUGUUUUUCUCACUUCCAUGGGCAUCAGGCAUGCACAUCAUGCAAAUAUAUACAUGCAAGCAAAUGCUUAUAAACUUUGGUCGUUUCUUUUUUAAAAAGCAAAUUUAAGCCGG